rnacentral:rRNA from 1 species
UACGGAGGGUGCAAGCGUUAUCCGGAUUCACUGGGUUUAAAGGGUGUGUAGGCGGGUAUUUAAGGCAGGGGGGAAAUCUCCAGGCUCAACCUGGAAACUGCCAUUGAUACUAUUUAUCUUGAAUAUUGUUGAGGUAGGCGGAAUAUGUCAUGUAGCGGUGAAAUGCUUAGAUAUGACAUAGAACACCGAUUGCGAAGGCAGCUUGCUAAACAAUUAUUGACGCUGAGGCACGAAAGCGUGGGGAUCAAACAGG